AGUGAACGCUGGCGGUAGGCCUAACACAUGCAAGUCGAACGGCAGCACAGUAAGAGCUUGCUCUUACGGGUGGCGAGUGGCGGACGGGUGAGGAAUACAUCGGAAUCUACUUUUUCGUGGGGGAUAACGUAGGGAAACUUACGCUAAUACCGCAUACGACCUACGGGUGAAAGCAGGGGAUCUUCGGACCUUGCGCGAUUGAAUGAGCCGAUGUCGGAUUAGCUAGUUGGCGGGGUAAAGGCCCACCAAGGCGACGAUCCGUAGCUGGUCUGAGAGGAUGAUCCGCCACACUGGAAGUGAGACACGGUCCAGACUCCUACGGGAGGCAGCAGUGGGGAAUAUUGGACAAUGGGCGCAAGCCUGAUCCAGCCAUACCGCGUGGGUGAAGAAGGCCUUCGGGUUGUAAAGCCCUUUUGUUGGGAAAGAAAAGCAGCAGGUUAAUACCCCGCUGUUCUGACGGUACCCAAAGAAUAAGCACCGGCUAACUUCGUG
rnacentral:rRNA from 1 species